rnacentral:lncRNA from 1 species
CUGGAUUCAAAAUUUUGAUCUGUAUGCCAGCCAUUUGGUGCCUCAAUGCCCAACUGUAACAGCCAAUCAAGAAAAAAAAGUAUCUGGAAAGAAAAGCAGUCUGAGCAGAUGCAUCCAAAUCUGCACUGCAUCCAGCAUUGCCAUGUGUCAUCAUGGGAAAGCGAGACUGAUGUACUGUCAACUGGUGGAGCUUGGAUAAAUCUGGCUGUCAAAUGGCAAACUGUCCUUGAAUGAUAUA